GGCCCGCACAAGCGGUGGAGCAUGUGGUUUAAUUCGACGCAACGCGAAAAACCUUACCUGGGUUUAAAUUGUUAGAGAUCGGUGUGGAAACACACUUUCCCUUAUGGGUUCUAAUGAAGGUGUUGCAUGGCUGUCGUCAGCUCGUGUUGUGAAAUGUUGGGUUAAGUCCCGCAACGAGCGCAACCCCCUGUUGGUAGUUGCCAGCGUUAAGUCGGGAACUCUACCAAGACUGCCAAUGUUAAAUUGAAGGAAGGUGGGGAUGACGUCAAGUCCUCAUGGCCCUUAUGUCCAGGGCUACACACGUGCUACAAUGGCUGAUACAAAGAGUCGCAAAGUCUCGAGACCAAGCUAAUCUCAAAAAGUCAGUCUCAGUUCGGAUUGUAGUCUGCAACUCGACUACAUGAAGGAGGAAUCGCUAGUAAUCGC
rnacentral:rRNA from 1 species